AUACUCCAUCAACCUGUAGAUGAGAAGAGAAGUACUUAGGGGACGAUGUCGAUCUUACACAUUCAGCUUUGUGUUAAUAGUAAGCUCGAGAUGAAACUUUUGGCGGAGAUACAAUUUUGAUAUAC